rnacentral:rRNA from 1 species
AGGCAGCAGUGGGGAAUAUUGCACAAUGGGCGCAAGCCUGAUGCAGCCAUGCCGCGUGUAUGAAGAAGGCCUUCGGGUUGUAAAGUACUUUCAGCGGGGAGGAAGGGAGUAAAGUUAAUACCUUUGCUCAUUGACGUUACCCGCAGAAGAAGCACCGGCUAACUCCGUGCCAGCAGCCGCGGUAAUACGGAGGGUGCAAGCGUUAAUCGGAAUUACUGGGCGUAAAGCGCACGCAGGCGGUUUGUUAAGUCAGAUGUGAAAUCCCCGGGCUCAACCUGGGAACUGCAUCUGAUACUGGCAAGCUUGAGUCUCGUAGAGGGGGGGUAGAAUUCCAGGUGUAGCGGUGAAAUGCGUAGAGAUCUGGAGGAAUACCGGUGGCGAAGGCGGCCCCCCUGGACGAAGACUGACGCUCAGGUGCGAAAGCGUGGGGAGCAAACAGGAUUAGAUACC